AACGAACGCUGGCGGCAGGCCUCAAACAUGCAAGUCUAGGGGGUAGCAAUACCACCGGCGGACGGGUGCGUAACGCGUGGGAACAUACCUUUCGGUACGGAACAACCCAGGGAAACUUGGGCUAAUACCGUAUACGCCCUUACGGGAAAGAUUAUCGCCGAAGGAUUGGCCCGCGUUCGAUUAGCUAGUUGGUGAGGUAACGGCUCACCAAGGCUACGAUCGAUAGCUGUUCUGAGAGGAAGAUCAGCCACACUGGGACUGAGACACGGCCCAGACUCCUACGGGAGGCAGCAGUUGGGAAUCUUGGACAAUGGGGGAAACCCUGAUCCAGCCAUGCCGCGUGAGUGAUGAAGGCCUUCGGGUUG
rnacentral:rRNA from 1 species